rnacentral:rRNA from 1 species
UACGUAGGGUGCAAGCGUUGUCCGGAAUUAUUGGGCGUAAAGAGCGUGUAGGCGGCCCGAUUAGUCCGCUGUGAAAGUCCAGGGCUCAACCCUGGAAUGCCGGUGGAUACUGUCGGGCUAGAGUCCGGAAGGGGCGAGUGGAAUUCCUGGUGUAGCGGUGAAAUGCGCAGAUAUCAGGAGGAACACCAAUGGCGAAGGCAGCUCGCUGGGACGUGACUAACGCUGAGACGCGAAAGCGUGGGGAGCAAACAGG